GUUUACUUUUUCAUCAUUCCAUCAUUUCCAGUGAUAGGAAAUAGCAUUUUUAAAGUACAGUUGAGUAACUUGAUUUUUUUUUUUACUGUUCCUACACAAGGCAAUUAUAAGACAACUAUUUAAUUUUACCUUAGUCUGUUUUAAAGACACUUGUUCUUUUUGAGAAUUAUAAGCUUCUGUGAGUCAUCCUUUUUUAGGAAUGUUGAGUUCACGUCUGGGAAGUUUAGUUAUGUUUUUCUCUCAAGUUCUUAACUUUCUCUUUAGUUUUCUGUGGUCCACAUAUAGGUCUAUUGUUUUGAAAGUGUAAUUGAAGUAGCACUUUUGAAAGAAUCAAGUUAUUUCUGAGUGUGGCAAGUUAAAACUUGUCCAAACUAUUUCUGUAGCUGUUUGUGCAAAUAUCAAUAUACAGCCUUUUAAAAAUAGUCCAAACUAACAAGUGUAAAAAAAAAAAAAAAGGAAAAAAGCAAUUUGAGUAAGAGAUAUUGAGGAAAUGUCACCGCGUUCAUUUGAACUGUCACUGCAGGGUGGGGGGGAAACCUUAGGGAGACGCUUGCCUUGCCAGCAUGAGGACCCUAAUUCAAUCCCAGAAACGUACAUUAC
rnacentral:lncRNA from 1 species